rnacentral:lncRNA from 1 species
GAGUUAUUUUAUUUGUCCAGUGACAAUGUGGGGGCGUGGGGUAUGUGAGCGCGCUCACUAAGGUUCUUUAAUUUGUGUUGAUGUUAAUUGACGGAUUACAGCACCGUUUAUUUUUAUACCAUGGCCACAACAAAACUGCAUCCUACAAGUUUCAUUUAUAUUUCUAUCCACAUAACAAAAACCUUGAAACAAGAAUAAUUCUGCAAAACCUUAUUCAUAUUUUUU